UACGUAGGCAGCAAGCGUUGUUCGGAAUUACUGGGCGUAAAGAGUGUGUAGGCGGUGCUCUAAGUCUGUUGUGAAAUCUCCCGGCUUAACUGGGAGGGUGCAGCGGAAACUGGAAUGCUCGAGCAUGGGAGAGGUAAGCGGAAUUCCUGGUGUAGCGGUGAAAUGCGUAGAUAUCAGGAGGAACACCUGUGGUGUAGACAGCUUACUGGACCAUCACUGACGCUGAGACACGAAAGCGUGGGUAGCAAACAGG
rnacentral:rRNA from 1 species